AAGGAUAUAGCUCAAGUGGUAGAGCGCAUGCUUAGCAUGCACAAGGUCCUGGGUUCAAUCCCAGUAUCUCCU
rnacentral:tRNA from 1 species